GCAGGACUAGCAAGUGGGCAUUAUAGGUGGCUGAUUAAAGACUUUGUCCAGAUGGCCACCAAGGGUCCAUUUCUGGGUCUUUCCUUGGCUCAAGAAACCUUUUCACUACAGAACUGCACUGGUAACUACAGAACAUGGCACACAGAACAUGAAUGCAAGUGUCUUGUUAAGGCAGUAGAAAUUAUUAUCACAAUUUAUUUUCGCAUUUGUUUUCUCCUUUUGAAUUCUGGCAUUAUAAUGGGACACAGCUCAAUCAAGGUUCGGCAGCUGAGAAAAUGAGAGAAGGUAUGGUGUGGCCUGGAGGAAUUUCCUGCAGCGGGGUAAAUGGCAGGCCAACCCCAUCUGGAUCUUUCCCAUGACCAAGAAACCCUUUCACCAAAGCCUGCUCGUUUCCUACAAGAUCUUCCCUGCCCUGAUAAUCUCUCCAUCCUUCCCUCCUUUCUAAAACCAGUAUUUUCAUUCAUUCAUUCAUUCAAGAUGUAUUUUCCUGUUUGGAAAUUUUCAUCCAUGUAUUGUCUAUCUUCCCACCCAUCCCACAAGCAUCAGAACAGAACCACUUUUGUGGGGGGCUCUGUACCAGCACUGGGAUCACACCUUGAAUAAAACAUUGAAUUUGUUUCUUCCGUCAAGGAGCUUAACGUUAUCUGGUUGAAUACAUUCUCAUUUAAAACCUCUACCAUUCCCAGAAAACUUAUUAAAGAUGUGAUUAAAGAGAUAAUCAUAUAACCUUACUUAGUUAUUGAAUAAGCCUUUUUCCUGGUCCUGAAUGCAGGAGUGACGAAGGCUUCUUGAAGACAGUUUGCUUGGCUGUGAACAGUGCUGCAAUGCUCAGGAACAAGGCUCAAUGCUCAAGGGUGGGAGCUGUCACCACAUAGGAAAAAUUGCAAUUGGGAAGAUAUACACAGACUGCGUGGUCUUCGGUGUAACCAAAGAACAAAGAGAAGGUUGGAAGUUUUAUAACAAGGAGAAAUGUUACGUAUUUGUUCUUCAAGAAAGUUCGUGGCACUUGUAAAGUUCUGGGGAGUGAGCAAGCUCUGAUUGUUGCUCUUCCCAACAUCUGUAUAUUUGUCCCAGGAAAGGAUGCUGAUCGGUCUUGGUUGAAUCGUAUGUCUACUCCUGAGCCCAUCACUGCCCUCGGAGUCAGCUUUCUCUGGUCUACUGAGAAGCAGCCUGAUUUACACUGAAGAACCACUAAAGGCUCGGGAAUUGGCACUUCCUGGUACUUCUGGAAGUGGAGGUAAAAAUGAGGCUUGAAAAAACAGAAAGUAUAUUUUCUCAGAGAGGGUGAAACACCAGGCAUGAAAGACAGCAGGGGCGCUGUACUGAAAAUGGGGUUAUAUGAACAUUUCUAUAUUGAAUGACCCCUGGUUUUCUUCUCACACUCAGCUUCCAGGAUGCUGACUGCCAGGCCUGUACUCUAUAGGCAGGGGUUUAGAGAAAUCUUUAGGUCUCUCUUCUUGGUCGGUUUCCCCAGUGAUACUGAUAUUGGAGGGUCUUUAAGGGAAUGCCCCAUGACUCCUCUCUGGUAAAGCCCAUAGUUGAUAGAUCUCAUCAUGUGAUUGAGCCUGCCAUCAAUGUGUUAGUGUCCUCACCUUGAAUUACACAGAUAGCUCAGGAUCUCCAGACAGCUGAGGAAAGCCUGUUACAUGAAAGAAGUCAGCACAACCAAAAGUAUCCUCAGAUUGCCUUUCCUCUCUAUUUUAUUUUGUUGUUGUUGUUGUUGUUGUUGUUGUUGUUUCUGAGACAGAGUCUUGCUCUGUU